AGCACCUCGAGUGGUCAGGAGGUUUAUUGGGCCUAAAGCAUCCGUAGCCGGUUGUUUAAGUUUUCGGUUAAAUCUAUGCGCUUAACGUAUAGGCUGCCGAAAAUACUGGACAGCUAGGGAGUGGGAGAGGUACACGGUACUCGAUAGGAAGGGGUAAAAUCCUUUGAUCUGUUGAUGACCACCUGUGGCGAAGGCGGUGUACCAGAACACGUUCGACGGUGAGGGAUGAAAGCUGGGGGAGCAAACC
rnacentral:rRNA from 1 species